GACGAACGCUGGCGGCGUGCUUAACACAUGCAAGUCGAACGGAAAGACCUGCUUUCCCUUGUGGAUUGCGGGUACUCGAGUGGCGAACGGGUGAGUAACACGUGAGUGAUCUGCCCCCAACUUGGGUAUAAGCCUGGGAAACUGGGUCUAAUUCCCGAUAGGACUGCAGGGUGGUGCCUGUGGUGGAAAACGAUUUUCUAGUGGUUGGGGAUGAGCUCGCGGCCUAUCAGCUUGUUGGUGGGGUAAUGGCCUACCAAGGCGGCGACGGGUAGCCGGCCUGAGAGGGUGGACGGCCACAUUGGGACUGAGAUACGGCCCAGACUCCUACGGGAGGCAGCAGUGGGGAAUAUUGCACCAUGGGCGGAAGCCUGAUGCAGCGACGCCGCGUGGGGGAUGACGGCCUUCGGGUUGUAAACUCCUUUCGACCGCGAGGAAGCCACCUGGUUGGAAGGGUGGUGACGGUAGUGGUAGAAGAAGCACCGGCUAACUACGUG
rnacentral:rRNA from 1 species